AAGUCGUAACAAGGUUUCCGUAGGUGAACCUGCGGAAGGAUCAUUAUUGAAACAAUUGCAGCUCGUGAACUGUUGCUGACCGCCCCUAAACCGGUGGUAUGUGCACGUUUGCGGCUGUCAAUCUUCAUCCACCUGUGAACCAUUGUAGAUCUGGGUUGUCUCGCUACCUUAACCGGUUUCGGAUAGAGAGGGGUGCUGCACUUGUGUAGCUGCUCCUCUUGUUUCCCAGGUCUAUGUUAUAUUAAACUCUUAAAUGUCUCGAAUGUCUUGUUUAUAGGACUCUGUCCUCUAAAACUAAAUACAACUUUCAACAACGGAUCUCUUGGCUCUC
rnacentral:misc_RNA from 1 species